rnacentral:rRNA from 1 species
CCUACGGGAGGCAGCAGUGAGGAAUAUUGGUCAAUGGGCGCAAGCCUGAACCAGCCAAGUCGCGUGAGGGAUGACGGUCCUAUGGAUUGUAAACCUCUUUUGUCGGGGAGCAAGGCCCGCCACGUGUGGCGGGAAGGAGAGUACCCGAAGAAAAAGCAUCGGCUAACCCCGUGCCAGCAGCCGCGGUAAUACGGAGGAUGCGAGCGUUAUCCGGAUUUAUUGGGUUUAAAGGGUGCGUAGGCGGAAGGUUAAGUCAGCGGUAAAAUGUCGGUGCUCAACACCGGCCUGCCGUUGAAACUGGUCUUCUUGAGUGAGCGAGAAGUAUGCGGAAUGCGUGGUGUAGCGGUGAAAUGCAUAGAUAUCACGCAGAACUCCGAUUGCGAAGGCAGCAUACCGGCGCUCAACUGACGCUGAGGCACGAAAGCGUGGGGAUCGAACAGGAUUAGAUACCCCGGUAGUC